rnacentral:rRNA from 1 species
CCUACGGGAGGCAGCAGUGAGGAAUAUUGGUCAAUGGGCGCUAGCCUGAACCAGCCAAGUAGCGUGAAGGAUGACUGCCCUAUGGGUUGUAAACUUCUUUUAUAUGGGAAUAAAGUGUAGUAUGUAUACUGCUUUGCAUGUACCUUAUGAAUAAGGAUCGGCUAACUUCGUUCCAGCAGCCGCGGUAAUACGGAGGAUCCGAGCGUUAUCCGGAUUUAUUGGGUUUAAAGGGAGCGUAGGCGGGUUGUUAAGUCAGUUGUGAAAGUUUGCGGCUCAACCGUAAAAUUGCAGUUGAUACUGGCAGCCUUGAGUACAGUAGAGGUAGGCGGAAUUCGUGGUGUAGCGGUGAAAUGCUUAGAUAUCACGAAGAACUCCGAUUGCGAAGGCAGCCUGCUGGACUGUAACUGACGCUGAUGCUCGAAAGUGUGGGUAUCAAACAGGAUUAGAUACCCGAGUAGUC